rnacentral:rRNA from 1 species
UACGUAGGGUGCAAGCGUUGUCCGGAAUUAUUGGGCGUAAAGAGCUCGUAGGCGGUUUGUUGCGUCGGCUGUGAAAUCCCGAGGCUCAACCUCGGGUCUGCAGUCGAUACGAGCAAACUAGAGUGUUGCAGGGGAGACUGGAAUUCCUGGUGUAGCGGUGAAAUGCGCAGAUAUCAGGAAGAACACCCGUGGCGAAGGCGGCUCUCUGGUACGUGACUGACGCUGAGACGCGAAAGCGUGGGGAGCGAACAGG